UACAGAGGGUGCAAGCGUUAAUCGGAAUUACUGGGCGUAAAGGGCUUGUAGGUGGCCAACUAAGUCAGACGUGAAAUCCCUCGGCUUAACCGGGGAACUGCGUCUGAUACUGGAUGGCUAGAGAUUGGGAGAGGGAUGCGGAAUUCCAGGUGUAGCGGUGAAAUGCGUAGAUAUCUGGAGGAACACCGGUGGCGAAGGCGGCAUCCUGGACCAACACUGACACUGAAAAGCGAAAGCCAGGGGAGCAAACGGG
rnacentral:rRNA from 1 species